GACGAACGCUGGCGGCGUGCUUAACACAUGCAAGUCGAACGGAAGGGCCCUGCUUUUGUGGGGUGCUCGAGUGGCGAACGGGUGAGUAACACGUGAGUAACCUGCCCUUGACUUUGGGAUAACUUCAGGAAACUGGGGCUAAUACCGGAUAGGAGCUCCUGCUGCAUGGUGGGGGUUGGAAAGUUUCGGCGGUUGGGGAUGGACUCGCGGCUUAUCAGCUUGUUGGUGGGGUAGUGGCUUACCAAGGCUUUGACGGGUAGCCGGCCUGAGAGGGUGACCGGCCACAUUGGGACUGAGAUACGGCCCAGACUCCUACGGGAGGCAGCAGUGGGGAAUAUUGCACAAUGGGCGGAAGCCUGAUGCAGCGACGCCGCGUGCGGGAUGACGGCCUUCGGGUUGUAAACCGCUUUCGCCUGUGACGAAGCGUGAGUGACGGUAAUGGGUAAAGAAGCACCGGCUAACUACGUG
rnacentral:rRNA from 1 species